AUAUAUAUAUAUAUAUAUAAUGAGUGUUUUGAGUGUGGUGACAUAGAGUAGAGAGAAGAAAGAAAGAAAGAAAGGUUGGCAUAUAGUGCUGUGGUGGAGGAGACAGGCAACAUGUGCAAUUCAGAGGCAAUGGCAUGUGUGGUGUCAGCCGCCUUUUAUUCCAUGUGACCUAUCACACUUGCAUUAUUUGGGUUUUUAUUUUAUUUGUUUAACAGGGUGUGUGAGAUCCUUGAGAGCUUGGAGAGGAGGGUGGGAGUGGAACCACAUGUCCCUCUCUCUCAGUUUGAGUUGUAAUUCUGUUGUACUUUUUCUAACAAAUUAUUGGGGAAUAUUAUACCUCAAAUGGCUAAAUGUAUCUUGGAUUUGGUGUGAAUUGCUUUGAGUGGCUUUUGAUACAAAUGUCAUGUGCUUCUGUACCAUUUGCUUACUCUAUAUACUUUCUUCCCUUUUCUAUAAUGUUUACCACAUAAGAUAAGU
rnacentral:misc_RNA from 1 species